rnacentral:lncRNA from 1 species
UUGUGCCUACAUGAUUUUAUUGUGGUAUAAAUGGCCAUACACCUAAUGUCUGCUAUGUUAGAAACUUUAGUAUGGCAAGUGAGCAUUAUGUGUGGGUUAAGAAAGAUACUAAUUAUGAAGGACCCAAGGCAUAUUGGAUACCUAACAAAACAUAAUUUGUUUUGUAGGUAUGUUUGAAGACCACUUCAAAUCUAUGGUAUCUCGAUAGUGGUUGUUAGAAACAUAAUCAUGUUCAACUGCAGAUAAACAAAACACAAAAAAUAGUGAAAUUCCAAAUUGAGUCCAGAGUGAAAUUUCAGUUAAUUAACACAACAAACAAACAUCUCCACGCUUCAUAAUUAAUUGAUUUUAAUUCUAACUUGAUUUCAUCUUUCACCAUAAUACUUCUAAUUUAAUCAACCUAAUGACAAAACUUAUUAACUUAAAACCGAUUUCACUAACAACUAACUUUCAUCAUAGUUAACUAACUUCAGUUCCAUUCUAACAGGUAAUUGAAUUCCAAACUCUAACCUCCAUUCAACUAACAUUAACAAAAACACUAAUAUUGUCAGUUAACUUCUAACUAACUUUCCUCUUCAAUUACUAACCAUCUAAUUCUGCCCUAACGGUUAACUACCCCUGCCCCAUAGCUUGCUUGAAACGGUUAGAGGACACUCAUUAUAUAGCUUCUCAUCAUCACUAUCCAAGGGGAGGAAAAUCACAAUUUACAAACACAUAAUCAUUCACUCUCCUCAAUGCAGAAUCACAACCAUUAUUGUUCAUAAUCAUAACCACCUCCAAUCAUCAACGACAGAACAUUCUGCGGAAUUUUCUCAAUUCUACCAACCUAAAAAUCAGUAACAACAAUUCAUAAUCAUUCAUCAACCACAAUCACACAGAGAAACAAGAACAACACCAAGCAAUAUCAUACACCUAUGGACUAAGAGCAUGAAGAAGAAGGAGGAUUUGUGACAGAAGAAGGUUGAGUUUCGAAGCUUCUUACCUCAGUAGAGCCUUUUGUGUUCUUGCUUCGACUUCAUCUUCUUUGUUGCAACAAAUUUCGGGAUAAGCCAUGGUCUCGUAGGUCGGCAUUUGAUUUUCCUUUCCUUUCCCUUUGCUCCAAAUUCCUUUACCCGCAAUGUAGCCCUGCGUAACCUGAACCAAACCCCUAAGGUGUGGGUUCAGAUUGAAGCUCCAACCAUUUAAUUUCACUUUUCAUAGCUUAGGGUUCUUGAUUUUAGUUGAUUAUUUUGGUGGAUAUAAGGAAAGUUUGGCAAGAUAAUAGAAGAGAGGAUAAAGCAAGGAUCAUUUUGGUGGCAGUUAUUUGCGUUUUGGCUUAACUCUGCCUCUGGCACGGCGGAGUGGCGGUUUCCGACAAAGGAAUUUGAGAUAAGGGAGGGAGAGCUUAAGCGGAUAAUUGAAAGUAGGAAUUCCUGAUGGCAUUUCCCUAUAA